GACGGGGGAUGCAAGCGUUAUCCGGAGUCACUGGGCGUAAAGCGUCUGUAGGUGGUGAUGCAAGUCACUGGUGCAAAACUCUGGCUCAACCGGAGGAAAGCCAGUGAAACUGCAUGGCUAGAGUGUGGGAGAGGUAGAAGGAAUUCCCUGAGUAGCGGUGAAAUGCGUAGAUACAGGGAAGAACACCGGAGGCGAAAGCGUUCUACUGGAACACAACUGACACUGAGAGACGAAAGCUAGGGGAGCGAAGGGG
rnacentral:rRNA from 1 species